rnacentral:lncRNA from 1 species
GACACUGGGUGCAUUUAAUUUUAUUGCACAUUAACUUUUUUUAUUUAAAUAUUUUUAAGGACUUUGAAUUAAAAGUCUUCGUAGUUUGUGUACCAAAAGAAAAGAAAAAGAAAUUGUUUUCAGUGGAACGUAACUGAUAAUGAGAGUAUCUGAAUAACUGAACAUAUUAAGGAAUAUUACUUACAUUUAUCUAGGAAGGAAUUGCAUUAUUCUGAGUUUGAAGUAUACUCAGAUUGAAGGUGUGACUCAUUCUGCUUGAGGAAUCACACACACACACACACACACAAACACCUUACUUUAGUCUUAUCUUAAUGGAGCAGGAGACCCAGGCAGGUCACAGUUUUGGAGAUAGUAGAUGAGUAUAAAUAAUUUUCACAAAUUCCCAUUUUUCCUGAAGUAAUUUUUUCCCCACAGUAGACAGUUAAGUGUUUUCGGUACAGCUCUCCCCUUGCCCACUCUUGUAUUAAACCAAGGUUACCAGCACGGGUGCUAAGUAAGCUCGGGACCACAGAGCACUUGGCCCAAGGGAUUUAUUUUUAACUUGCACAAAAGAGAGAGAUUAUGGUAAACAUUUUAAAUCUCAGGCUCUUGGUUCUGUUGGGUCCAGAUUACCCAAGACCUAGAGAGACUGCGUGUCACUGGCUCGUGCUGUACAGGAAACCACUUAUGGUUGACAGUGGGUUGUGCACCGUCACUGUGUCAUGGGGAUUCCAGAAGCCACGUCUUCACCGCUUUCAUCAGUUUUUCCUUUUGUUGACUGUUGGCAUCUGACCACCUGGGUGAAUAUCAGCUGUCUCUUUAUAGAUUACUAUUUUAAAAUAUUUAUUUCAGAUGUUCAUAGAAUGUUCAAUUUUUUGAUGCAAGUUAUUUACAGAGGCAUAUAUAUUUAAUAAUUGAGAUAUAUUAUUUUAUUGCACAACCUAUUUUCCAAAGCAAAUUUACUUUGUAGGUGUUUGUCUUUUUGUGAAGAAAAAAAUGUUUUUUUCUUUUGCCUCAAAAUACAAGUUGUAAACCUGUCUUCUGGCGUAAGUGACUCUUGUGAUAAUAUUUGCUUUCCGCUUAUUUGUGAACCAGUUUGGAGUUGCCAGUUGAACCCUCAGAGCUCCCCUCUGACCUGGAUUCAGUGCAGUGCUGGUCAAACUUGGCAUUGUUUCCCUGCCUCGGUUUCCUCUCCUCAUUGCACUUGAGUUUGGCCUCCGUUAGUUCGUUUUUCAGCAAUCAGUUUUACAGAGGAAAACCGCCUUAGGAAUUGAAGAGGUUAGAACUCUUUGUAAAUCGAAUGUGUUAUUAACAUCUGUCUGCUAAUAAGUGGAUUAAGGUCUGGUCCUAGAGAAAGAGACCAGCUAGAAAGAACAAGAAAAGUGCAAAUAUUUUUGAUGUAAAUGUUGUGUUCCCGUGACUUUUCAUAUGCUGAUUUUAUGUUAAUGUGAUCACCUGUGAUAUUUAAGUGACCGCAGAUAAAGAUUUAAUUUUCAACCUGAAGACGGCAGGUCCUGUUUCUAUUUUUAAUAUUGAGACAGUUUUGAAAACAGAUGUCGUAUUAUAAAUUGUAUUUUUAAGUGGAAAUAAAUCAAUUUGAAAGU